CUGAUUUGUCUUAUCGAGGUUGUACAAUUGAGGAUCUUGCUAUUGACUUCACUAUCCCCGGCUAUCCAGAGUAUGUGCUUUCUCUGGAGAGUAGCUCAGAUAAUGUAACCGCUGAGAAUUUGGAAGAAUAUGUUUCUUUUGUUGUCGAGGCAACAGUUAAAAAUGGAAUCUCAAGACAACUGGAAGCUUUUAAGUCAGGAUUUAAUCAGGUAUUUCCACUAAGCACACUUCAGGUAUUCUCAGAGGAUGAGCUGGAGAGAUUACUCUGUGGAGAACAAGACAAUUGGGAUGUAUGUG